rnacentral:rRNA from 1 species
UACAGGGGGGGCAAGCGUUGUUCGGAAUUACUGGGCGUAAAGCGUGCGCAGGCGGUUCGUUGUGUCGGUGGUGAAAGCCCCGGGCUUAACCUGGGAAUGGCCGUUGAAACUGGCGAACUGGAGUGUGGCAGAGGGGGGUGGAAUUCCGCGUGUAGCAGUGAAAUGCGUAGAGAUGCGGAGGAACACCGAUGGCGAAGGCAGCCCCCUGGGCUGACACUGACGCUCAGGCACGAAAGCGUGGGGAGCAAACAGG